GGAUAACCUACCCUUAGGACCGGGAUAACCCUGGGAAACUGGGGCUAAUACUGGAUAGAUGAUUUUUCCUGCAAUGGUAUUUUGUCUAAAUGUUUUUUCGCCUAAGGAUGGGUCUGCGGCCGAUUAGGUAGUUGGUUAGGUAAUGGCUUACCAAGCCGCUUAUCGGUACGGGUUGUGAGAGCAAGAGCCCGGAGAUGGAACCUGAGACAAGGUUCCAGGCCCUACGGGGCGCAGCAGGCGCGAAACCUCCGCAAUGUGAGAAAUCGCGACGGGGGGAUCCCAAGUGCCAUUCUUAACGGGAUGGCUUUUCUUGAGUGUAAAAAGCUCUUGGAAUAAGAGCUGGGCAAGACCGGUGCCAGCCGCCGCGGUAACACCGGCAGCUCUAGUGGUAGCCAUUUUUAUUGGGCCUAAAGCGUUCGUAGCCGGUUUAAUAAGUCUCUGGUGAAAUCCCACAGCUUAACUGUGGGAAUUGCUGGAGAUACUAUUAGACUUGAGGUCGGGAGAGGUUAGAGGUACUCUCAGGGUAGGGGUGAAAUCCUGUAAUCCUGGGAGGACCACCUGUGGCGAAGGCGUCUAACUGGAACGAACCUGACGGUGAGGGACGAAAGCUAGGGGCGCGAACCGGAUUAGAUACCCGGGUAGUCCUAGCCGUAAACGAUGCGGACUUGGUGUUAGGAUGGCUUUGAGCCGCCCUAGUGCCGAAGGGAAGCUGUUAAGUCCGCCGCCUGGGAAGUACGGUCGCAAGACUGAAACU
rnacentral:rRNA from 1 species